rnacentral:rRNA from 1 species
CACNCCGUAAACGAUGAGUGCUAGGUGUUAGGCCCUUUCCGGGGCUUAGUGCCGGUGCUAACGCAAUAAGCACUCCGCCUGGGGAGUACGACCGCAAGGUUGAAACUCAAAGGAAUUGACGGGGGCCCGCACAAGCGGUGGAGCACGUGGUUUAAUUCGAAGCAACGCGAAGAACCUUACCAGGUCUUGACAUCCCGAUGCUAUUCUUAGAGAUAGGAAGUUACUUCGGUACAUCGGAGACAGGUGGUGCAUGGUUGUCGUCAGCUCGUGUCGUGAGAUGUUGGGUUAAGUCCCGCAACGAGCGCAACCCUUAUUGUUAGUUGCCAUCAUUAAGUUGGGCACUCUAGCGAGACUGCCGGUAAUAAACCGGAGGAAGGUGGGGAUGACGUCAAAUCAUCAUGCCCCUUAUGACCUGGGCUACACACGUGCUACAAUGGUCGGUACAACGAGUUGCGAGCCGGUGACGGCAAGCUAAUCUCUGAAAGCCGAUCUCAGUUCGGAUUGGAGGCUGCAACUCGCCUCCAUGAAGUCGGAAUCGCUAGUAAUCGCGGAUCAGCACGCCGCGGUGAAUACGUUCCCGGGCCUUGUACACACCGCCCGUCACACCACGAGAGUUUGUANCACCCGAAGUCGGUGAGGUANCCUUUUAGGG